UGUCCUGACACAGAUGCAGAACUGUCAAGGAAAUGGAAGGCCUGAUAAGGAUUAUGAGAACUGGCGAUGGAAACCAGCUCAGUGUGAACUGCCACGAUUUGAUCCAAAGAAGUUUUUGGAACUAAUGAGAGGAAAGACUUUAGCAUUCAUUGGUGACUCAGUUGCUCGCAACCAGAUGGAGUCUAUGCUGUGUAUCCUUUGGCAGUAUGAGGUUCCGAAAAAUCGUGGAAACAGAAGAAUGCAGCGGUACUAUUUCAGAUCCACAUCUACUAUGAUUGUUCGCAUUUGGUCUUCAUGGCUUGUCAACCAA
rnacentral:misc_RNA from 1 species